GGGAACCGGCUGGGGCGGGUCCAAAUACCCCAUGCCACGGCACAUGGAACUGGGUGUGGUUGGCCUAGGCCGGUCUUGCCCACCAUACAUUUUCAUUGGUUGAGGCUCAUUAAACCACGCUCUACACAACGUAGCCUGCGUGGUGAUAUACGUCAGCACGUACAUGUAACAGAUCAGCUAGCUAGCCACUCUAGCUUAACAUAAUAGGUUUGCAGAGUCACAUCUAACAAUACAAAACAUUGUUUUCUAAUCGAUUUUUGGGUUCAUAAUUUCUGUAGUCUGUAAAUACUUUUCAUGCAGGCUUACGGUGUUAUAGCGAUUCACUUUCCACACAUGGAAAGUGUUAGUUUACUCCGUUUCUAUGGUCACAGAUGGCUGUCGUCUUCCGUGUGUGGUGGUUCUUAUGCCACGUUCACAUACUACUUGGAACUAGGAAACUCGGAAAUGUCUGACUUGCUAACUGGUUAUAGUUUCAGUGGGGAGAACAAGUAUUUGAUACACUGCCGAUUUUGCAGGUUUUCCUAGUUACAAAGCAUGUAGAGCUCUGUAAUUCUUAUCAUAGGUACACUUCAAUUGUGAGAGACGGAUUCUAAAACAAAAAUCCAGAAAAUCACAUUGUAUGAUUUUUAAGUAUGAUUUUAAUGGAUUUUAAUCCAUGACGGCGUAGUGUGUUACUAAUGAUUUUCUUUGAGACUGUGGUCCCAGCUCUCUUCAGGUCAUUGACCAGGUCCUGCCGUGUAGUUCUGGGCUGAUCCCUCACCUUCCUCAUGAUCAUUGAUGUCCCACGAGGUCAUCCCAGCCUUGUGCAGGUCUACAGGUCUACAAUGGCCACCUACUUGUUGAUUUCAAAUAACAGACACAUCUCAACAUCAACUGUUCAGAGGAAACUGUGUGAAUCAGGCCUUCAUGGUUGAAUUGCUGCCAAGAAAUCACUACUAAAGGACACCAAUAAGGUGAAGAGACUUGUUUGGGCCAAGGAACACAAGCAGUGGACAUUAGACCGGUGUAAAUCUGUCCUUUGGUCUGGAGUCCAAACUGAAGAUUUUUGGUUCCAACCGCUGUGUCUUUGUGAGACAUGGUGUGGGUAAACGGAUGAUCUCUGCAUGUGUAUUUCCCACUGUAAAGCAUGGAGAAGGUGUUAGUGUUAUGGUGUGUGGAUGCUUUUCUGGUGACACUGUCUGUGAUUUAUUUAGAAUUCAAGGCACACUUAACCAGCAUGGCUACCACAGCACUCUGCAGCAAUACACCAUCCCAUCUGGUUUUGGCUUAGUGGGACUAAAAUGUGUUUUUCAACAGGACAAUGACCCAACACACCUCCAGGCUGUGUAAGGGCUAUUUUAUAAGAAGCAAUGUGAUGGAGUGCUGCAUCAGAUGACCUGGCCUCCACAAUCCCCCGGUCUCAACCAAAUUGAGAUGGUUUGGGAUGAGUCGGAGCGCAGAGUUAAGGAAAAGCAGCUAGCAAGUGCUCAGCAUAUGUGGGAACUCCUUCAAGACCGUUGGAAAAGCAUUUCAGUUAAAGCUGGUUGAGAGAAUGCCAAGAGUGCACAAAGCUGUCAUCAGGGCAAAGGGUGGCUAUUUAAAGAAUCUCAAAUAUAAAAUAUAUUUGGUUUAACACUUAUUUUCUACAAAGUAGCACCAGCCAUCCUCAUUGUGAAGGAACUCUACGAUGGCGUUUGUAUCAACUUCUUUGUUUUAUUAUUCUAGAUAAUUUUUUAUAAGUGGAAAUAGUAUUUUUUAAUUUGAUUUAGUGUCAUCCACGAUUAUUUUAAAUGCCUUGUGUCCACAUGUGUUU
ensembl:lncRNA